rnacentral:rRNA from 1 species
CGCGGCCUAUCAGCUUGUUGGUGAGGUAAUGGCUCACCAAGGCGACGACGGGUAGCCGGCCUGAGAGGGCGACCGGCCACACUGGGACUGAGACACGGCCCAGACUCCUACGGGAGGCAGCAGUGGGGAAUAUUGCACAAUGGGCGAAAGCCUGAUGCAGCGACGCCGCGUGAGGGAUGACGGCCUUCGGGUUGUAAACCUCUUUCAGCAGGGAAGAAGCGAAAGUGACGGUACCUGCAGAAGAAGCACCGGCUAACUACGUGCCAGCAGCCGCGGUAAUACGUAGGGUGCGAGCGUUGUCCGGAAUUAUUGGGCGUAAAGAGCUUGUAGGCGGUUUGUCGCGUCUGCAGUGAAAAUCCGGGGCUCAACCUCGGACUUGCUGUGGGUACGGGCAGACUAGUGUAUGAUAGGGGAGACCGGAAUUCCUGGUGUAGCGGUGGAAUGCGCAGAUAUCAGGAGGAACACCGAUGGCGAAGGCAGGUCUCUGGGCCAUAACUGACGCUGAGAAGCGAAAGCAUGGGGAGCGAACAGGAUUAGAUACCCUGGUAGUCCAUGCCGUAAACGUUGGGCGCUAGGUGUGGGGCUCAUUCCACGAGCUCCGUGCCGCAGCUAACGCAUUAAGCGCCCCGCCUGGGGAGUACGGA